UGUGUCAGCUUUGUCACAAACUGUCUUUGUUAUUCUGUUUUAGAUCACCCAGUGGACGUUGGAAAUAGCUUUCGAUGGUAGGAGGUCUUUUUUCAUGUGAUCCCAGGAAAUGAGCUUUGACUUAGGCACCUGGAGGAAGAGGCCCGGGUUCACGCUGUAAGCCUCCUGUAACCUGCAAAGACCUUCCAGUUGCGCCAGGAUCAUUCAAUUGAAUGUGGCAACAGCAGCUAAUUUUGAAAAAAGAAGAAUGUACACAUUAUCCAAG
rnacentral:lncRNA from 1 species